rnacentral:lncRNA from 1 species
AUGAUUUUAAAUGCAUGUAUUACUGUAUUACUUGACCACUGUGUGAUUUUGGGAUUUAAGAUAUGAUUGUAUUACCAGGUGCAUGUUCAUUGUUUAUGUGAUUGUGUUUAAUUUGGUAACAGAGAUUAAGGAUAAACAGGAAAGGGAUGUGAUCUAAUAAAUAGAUAAGGUGACAGCCUCACUAGAUAUCUUGGGAGAUGGUGGACGGACCGAGUUCAUAGGGAACCCUACUGUGAAUGUUGUCUCUUACCGGACGGGGUAUGGAGACUUGGUCUUUUGGCGCUCAUACCGGACAAGGUAUGGGACGGCCCUGGAAUUAAGAUUGUUAAGAAAAAGGGUUCACGUGUAGUGGGGACACCCCUAUGGAUCCCCAUAGAUACUAGUAGGUUGGUGAAACAAG